rnacentral:lncRNA from 1 species
AAUUCUAAAUGUUGCUUUGCUAAACAAAGAAGAAAAAAUUAAAAAUAAUUUUCAUAACCAAAGGGUAAAUGUUUUGGCAAGUAUUAUAAUGAGCUACAUACAUAGGAAGCAGUUAUUGAUUAACUAUUGUGGGCCCAGUUUGUGAUGGGCUUGAGGGAAUACCAAGACUUGGAAAAUGGAGUUGUCUUCAAGGUCUUUACAAAUCAGCUCAAAUGUAGAAAUAUAAUAAGCUGUAGAAAUUAAAUUUUUAUGUCCUGUCACUUAAGAAAUCUGCAGAAUAUGUGUGCAUGUUACACAGUGAUUAAUUACACUGAUGAGCCACUUUUUUCACUUCUGUAAGGUUAGUCACAUGCAGCUGUAAGUCAUGUCCUCCCCACCAAUAUUUCUUUUCCUGUAUCGGUUUUGAUUCCAGGUUGCUUCCCUUUCCUGUAUCAUUCUCCCAAUAAUAUUAAGGCAGCGUGUAGAGCUGAAUGAAAACACUGGGCUCAGUAUCUAGGAAACCAGAAAUUUAGCCCUACUGCUGUCACUAUGAACUGUGAAUCUCUGCGCCCUUGAGUAAGUCACUUUCUUUCACUCUACUUCAUUGUUCAAAUCAAUAAUGUGAGAGACUAGAUGAGAGUUCUUUAAGAUCUUGUGUCACACUAAGAAACUAAUUUUGAUUCUGUUAUCCUAAAAAUCUAUUUUUAGAUACUAUUGUGGCAUUUUGGACUUCUAAGUGAUCUAUAUAAAGUACAUGUUGGAAGUCCCUGGAGUCCCUUGAAAUGAUGCUGGGAAUGACAGCUCGUUUUCAGAAAGCAGUUGGUGUAGAUAGCUGAAACUACAGAAGAGAAAACUGUGAAUAAAAGGGAUCGACUGUACCCUUAUAACCACCACUCUAAUCAAGAUAUAGAACAGCUUCAUCACUUCAAUUGUUUCUUGAAUGGUAAAGAAAGGAGUGGAACCACAGUUGGAAACUCAGGUAUUGUGCAUAUUCCACAGCUCAGUUUAACACAGCCUGCUUUAUGCCUUAGCAUGAGGUAACUGACUACAACUGAUCUAUCACUGACAAGGUGACUGCAAAUUAUUCUAGUGCUUAUAGAAAUUUGCAGCUAUUUCCCUACCUUUUAAAAUUUUACCCAUGGAUCAAAUUUUCUAGUAACUUAGAAAAUGAGAUAAGAUGAAGAAAAGAUGAAUAACUUAAUCCCAUGGAAAGUGAAAAAGAAGGAUAGAAUGAGCAUUUUGAUAUGAUUAUGACCAAAUUUAAAGGCAGACGAAAUAUGUUGUA